rnacentral:rRNA from 1 species
GACGAACGCUGGCGGCGUGCUUAACACAUGCAAGUCGAACGGAAAGGCCCUGCUUUUGUGGGGUGCUCGAGUGGCGAACGGGUGAGUAACACGUGAGUAACCUGCCCUUGACUUUGGGAUAACUUCAGGAAACUGGGGCUAAUACCGGAUAGGAGCUCCUGCUGCAUGGUGGGGGUUGGAAAGUUUCGGCGGUUGGGGAUGGACUCGCGGCUUAUCAGCUUGUUGGUGGGGUAGUGGCUUACCAAGGCUUUGACGGGUAGCCGGCCUGAGAGGGUGACCGGCCACAUUGGGACUGAGAUACGGCCCAGACUCCUACGGGAGGCAGCAGUGGGGAAUAUUGCACAAUGGGCGGAAGCCUGAUGCAGCAACGCCGCGUGCGGGAUGACGGCCUUCGGGUUGUAAACCGCUUUCGCCUGUGACGAAGCGUGAGUGACGGUAAUGGGUAAAGAAGCACCGGCUAACUACGUGCCAGCAGCCGCGGUGAUACGUAGGGUGCGAGCGUUGUCCGGAUUUAUUGGGCGUAAAGGGCUCGUAGGUGGUUGAUCGCGUCGGAAGUGUAAUCUUGGGGCUUAACCCUGAGCGUGCUUUCGAUACGGGUUGACUUGAGGAAGGUAGGGGAGAAUGGAAUUCCUGGUGGAGCGGUGGAAUGCGCAGAUAUCAGGGGGAACACCAGUGGCGAAGGCGGUUCUCUGGGCCUUUCCUGACGCUGAGGAGCGAAAGCGUGGGGAGCGAACAGGCUUAGAUACCCUGGUAGUCCACGCUGUAAACGGUGGGUACUAGGUGUGGGGUCCAUUCCACGGGUUCCGUGCCGUAGCUAACGCUUUAAGUACCCCGCCUGGGGAGUACGGCCGCAAGGCUAAAACUCAAAGGAAUUGACGGGGCCCCGCACAAGCGGCGGAGCAUGCGGAUUAAUUCGAUGCAACGCGUAGAACCUUACCUGGGUUUGACAUGGAUCGGGAGUGCUCAGAGAUGGGUGUGCCUCUUUUGGGGUCGGUUCACAGGUGGUGCAUGCCUGUCGUCAGCUCGUGUCGUGAGAUGUUGGGUUAAGUCCCGCAACGAGCGCAACCCUUGUUCACUGUUGCCAGCACGUUAUGGUGGGGACUCAGUGGAGACCGCCGGGGUCAACUCGGAGGAAGGUGGGGAUGACGUCAAGUCCUCAUGCCCCUUAUGUCCAGGGCUUCACGCAUGCUACAAUGGCUGGUACAGAGAGUGGCGAGCCUGUGAGGGUGAGCGAAUCUCGGAAAGCCGGUCUCAGUUCGGAUUGGGGUCUGCAACUCGACCUCAUGAAGUCGGAGUCGCUAGUAAUCGCAGAUCAGCAACGCUGCGGUGAAUACGUUCCCGGGGCU